GUGCCAGCCGCCGCGGUAAUACGUAGGGUGCAAGCGUUAAUCGGAAUUACUGGGCGUAAAGCGUGCGCAGGCGGUUUUGUAAGACAGUCGUGAAAUCCCCGGGCUCAACCUGGGAAUUGCGAUUGUGACUGCAAAGCUGGAGUGCGGCAGAGGGGGAUGGAAUUCCGCGUGUAGCAGUGAAAUGCGUAGAUAUGCGGAGGAACACCGAUGGCGAAGGCAAUCCCCUGGGCCUGCACUGACGCUCAUGCACGAAAGCGUGGGGAGCAAACAGGAUUAGAUACCCGAGUAGUCC
rnacentral:rRNA from 1 species